CAGCAGCCACGGAAAUACGUAGGGUGCGAGCGUUAAUCGGAAUUACUGGGCGUAAAGCGUGCGCAGGCGGUUUUGUAAGACAGGCGUAAAAUCCCCGGGCUCAACCUGGGAAUGGCGCUUGUGACUGCAAAGCUAGAGUGCGGCAGAGGGGGAUGGAAUUCCGCGUGUAGCAGUGAAAUGCGUAGAUAUGCGGAGGAACACCGAUGGCGAAGGCAAUCCCCUGGGCCUGCACUGACGCUCAUGCACGAAAGCGUGGGGAGCAAACAGGAUUAGAUACCCCCGUAGUCCCUGUCUCUUAUAC
rnacentral:rRNA from 1 species